UUGAGCCGUACGAGAUGAAAUUUUCAUAUACGGUUCUUAGAGGGGGACUUAGGUUAGUUACCUAUCUCAAU
rfam:Brachypodium distachyon strain Bd21 chromosome 1, whole genome shotgun sequence.